rnacentral:tRNA from 1 species
GCCCUAGUAGCUCAGCAACAGAGUCCCGGUCUUGUAAACCGGAGGUCGGAGGUUAAAGCCCUCCCUAGCGCU